rnacentral:rRNA from 1 species
UACGUAGGUGGCAAGCGUUAUCCGGAAUUAUUGGGCGUAAAGAGCGCGCAGGUGGUUGAUUAAGUCUGAUGUGAAAGCCCACGGCUUAACCGCGGAGGGUCAUUGGAAACUGGUCGACUUGAGUGCAGAAGAGGGAAGUGGAAUUCCAUGUGUAGCGGUGAAAUGCGUAGAGAUAUGGAGGAACACCAGUGGCGAAGGCGGCUUCCUGGUCUGUAACUGACACUGAGGUGCGAAAGCGUGGGGAGCAAACAGGAUUAGAUACCCGGGUA